rnacentral:rRNA from 1 species
UGGGGAAUUUUGGACAAUGGGGGAAACCCUGAUCCAGCCAUCCCGCGUGUGCGAUGAAGGCCUUCGGGUUGUAAAGCACUUUUGGCAGGAAAGAAACGUCAUGGGUUAAUACCCCGUGAAACUGACGGUACCUGCAGAAUAAGCACCGGCCAACUACGUGCCAGCAGCCGCGGUAAUACGUAGGGUGCAAGCGUUAAUCGGAAUUACUGGGCGUAAAGCGUGCGCAGGCGGUUCGGAAAGAAAGAUGUGAAAUCCCAGAGCUCAACUUUGGAACUGCAUUUUUAACUACCGGGCUGGAGUGUGUCAGAGGGAGGUGGAAUUCCGCGUGUAGCAGUGAAAUGCGUAGAUAUGCGGAGGAACACCGAUGGCGAAGGCAGCCUCCUGGGAUAACACUGACGCUCAUGCACGAAAGCGUGGGGAGCAAACAGG